GGCGAAAGCCUGAUGGAGCAACGCCGCGUGAGUGAAGAAGGAUUUCGGUUCGUAAAACUCUGUUGUAAGGGAAGAACAAGUACAGUAGUAACUGGCUGUACCUUGACGGUACCUUAUUAGAAAGCCACGGCUAACUACGUGCCAGCAGCCGCGGUAAUACGUAGGUGGCAAGCGUUGUCCGGAAUUAUUGGGCGUAAAGCGCGCGCAGGUGGUUUCUUAAGUCUGAUGUGAAAGCCCACGGCUCAACCGUGGAGGGUCAUUGGAAACUGGGAGACUUGAGUGCAGAAGAGGAUAGUGGAAUUCCAAGUGUAGCGGUGAAAUGCGUAGAGAUUUGGAGGAACACCAGUGGCGAAGGCGA
rnacentral:rRNA from 1 species